rnacentral:rRNA from 1 species
UACGGGGGGGGCAAGCGUUGUUCGGAAUUACUGGGCGUAAAGGGCUCGUAGGUGGCCAACUAAGUCAGACGUGAAAUCCCUCGGCUUAACCGGGGAACUGCGUCUGAUACUGGAUGGCUUGAGUUUGGGAGAGGGACGCGGAAUUCCAGGUGUAGCGGUGAAAUUCGUAGAUAUCGGGAGGAACACCAGUGGCGAAGGCGGCAUCCUGGACCGGCAUUGACGCUGAGGAGCGAAAGCCAGGGGAGCAAACGGG